CCUUGAAAUACCACCCUUUAAUGUUUGAUGUUCUAACGUGGACCCGUUACCCGGGUUGCGGACAGUGUCUGGUGGGUAGUUUGACUGGGGCGGUCUCCUCCUAAAGAGUAACGGAGGAGCACGAAGGUUGGCUAAUCCUGGUCGGACAUCAGGAGGUUAGUGCAAUGGCAUAAGCCAGCUUGACUGCGAGCGUGACGGCGCGAGCAGGUGCGAAAGCAGGUCAUAGUGAUCCGGUGGUUCUGAAUGGAAGGGCCAUCGCUCAACGGAUAAAAGGUACUCCGGGGAUAACAGGCUGAUACCGCCCAAGAGUUCAUAUCGACGGCGGUGUUUGGCACCUCGAUGUCGGCUCAUCACAUCCUGGGGCUGAAGUAGGUCCCAAGGGUAUGGCUGUUCGCCAUUUAAAGUGGUACGCGAGCUGGGUUUAGAACGUCGUGAGACAGUUCGGUCCCUAUCUGCCGUGGGCGCUGGAGAACUGAGGGGGGCUGCUCCUAGUACGAGAGGACCGGAGUGGACGCAUCACUGGUGUUCGGGUUGUCAUGCCAAUGGCACUGCCCGGUAGCUAAAUGCGGAAGAGAUAAGUGCUGAAAGCAUCUAAGCACGAAACUUGCCCCGAGAUGAGUUCUCCCUGAGACUUAGAGUCUCCUGAAGGAACGUUGAAGACGACGACGUUGAUAGGCCGGGUGUGUAAGCGCAGCGAUGCGUUGAGCUAACCGGUACUAAUGAACCGUGAGGCUUAACCUUACA
rnacentral:rRNA from 1 species